CGUUUCAUGGAAUUCCGAUGGGAAACGAGAUUUUGCAUUUGUUAUGUGAGUAUUUAUAUAGUUUUUACAUUCUUUUAGGCUUCUUACACGUGGUAUUGAGCGAGAUGGGAUUAGUGACCAUUUGAGACUUUCCAAAACUAGAGACUAGGAGGGGGCCAAGUUCGAGGAUCAUCUGGCUUAGAGUUGGGAGUGGUCGUGGUACGUUUGUAGAGCGGAGCUCUGUGUGUUUGAGGUUCUUUCGCUGUGCUCUUGUUAAUUUUCUAAGUUUCUGAGCAGGAUGAUGAGGAGAGGUGACUGUGUUGUGUGAAUUAGUAGCGUGGUGUAGUUCUUGCGAGCUUUGUGUGAGGGUUGUGUGUUGUGAGGAUUUUGAGGUUUUGUGUGAAGCUGAAGGGGCUCGUGUUUGUUCUGGAGUGGCGCGGAGUGUCAAGCGAUUGUGGAGUUUGUUUUAGUGCAUUUGUCAGUUUUUGGUUGAUGCCUCACUUUGGUUCAUCUGUCAGAGAUUUUCUCAGCUUGCUUGUUAAAAUGAGAGCUUACAAGUUCUCACUUCGACACCUUUCGUGGAAUAGAUGUAACCUUUUUAUGGGUUGAUGAGUCAAGUGCGUGUUCGGCAGAGAAUAAAGCCCUUUUGACGCCGUCUAGCAUAUUUCCUCUCUGUUGACGAAGAAGUCCGCGUACUCUUCUGUUAACAAUUCAACAUCAAAUUUUGGAAUUUCUUCGUCAAUGAUUGCGUUUGUCGGCAGUUAGGCUACACUUCGUUGCGCAGAGUCCGUAUCACAGAUACAAGAGGAAAUUGCCGUAGAAUCUUCAUCCUGCUGAACAAGUUCGUAUUUGGUACUGAGUUUCAUCUUACCGCCCGCUUUAUUCUAGAACCGCGAUCUGCAGACUGAUGUAGAAGAGUCGAGCAAGUCGGUCGUGGAAGUAAGGCUUCAAUGAAGAGAAAUUAAAGCUUGCAUGUUCCUCGUUGUUGCUUGUCGCGAAUUUCAGGCGCUAGAAGUAUGGAAAAGUGCGCUUCCGCACUUAGUUGAAAAGUGGCACUUACUCGUGCCAUUUCUUAGGCAGUCUUGAAAGCUGUCCAUUGACGCGCUUGUUUGACCGUUAGGCACAAUGUUUAGGGUCUCCAGAGAGUAGAUGUGUGUGAUUGAUGCAUCCUCUAAGUUAGGCUUCCGAUGGCGCCAAUCCUUGGUAGACACAGGAUGCCGAUGCUUGAAGUAGACCUAUUCUUCUAAUGUUAAAAUAUUUUUGAAGAGCAUCAGCGGUAAUUUAGAAUAUUUGUUCGGAAGGAGAAUCGGUUUUCUCCUUCUGUCGAUAAUUUGCAUCGUCAAUUUUCGCAUAGGUCUGUUGGGUAGCUCAUCACGUCUCUGCGUAAUUGCAUUGCCUUUGUUAGAUCGUAGUUACCUUCUGGUUAUGGAAAUCGAUGCAUGAUCUUUCUCUCCAAUACCAACACGUCGGUGUGGUUGAUUACAGAAAAUUCUAAGUUUAUGAGAUUGCGGGGUUCAGGUUUAACGUAUUUUCCCGUUAUUUGUCCACUCCUGAAUCUGAACACUUCAAAUAAAUAAUUUAUGAUGAAUCUGGCAUAGGAAACGUUUGCCUUACGUAAUUACCGUAGUCACAUCAAAUUUGGACGAGAGCUUUGCAACCUGAUACUUGUUCGUAUGUACAGAUUGCUAGAGCUUAGGAAUAAUUCUGGCUUCAAUACUACACGGGUCUGGAUCGAUGCGGCUGCAGGCGUAUACGGCAGUUAUCGCUUGUGAAAGAGCUAAACGAGAUUGGGCAUGCUAAUCAAAACGUGCAUGCCGAAGAGUGGAUCUUCGAGGGUCGGAAAACUUGGCUUCGCAGGAUGUUGGACUCGAAUAAUGAGAGCGCACGCACGUGCUUUUCGAGGAAUUUUAUAAGCACGUAGAUUUGCAGAUCAGGGUCAAGAAAUUCAUUGCAUCACAUUGGAGGUUUCAACAGAAUGUGGGCGUCUGUGUGCGUCAAAACCACUGAUCGAAACAUGAGCUCCGCUCUCAUGUGACACCCAGAAAUUAUUGCACCUUUUAGAAGGGUGUGCGGUUUCUUUCAAGAAGUAGAUACGUCAAGACAGCAGGUAGUGUAUUGUAAGGCUUAGUCGGUGGAUGGGUCAUUUGGAUUUGUUAGGGAUUUGUCAUUACAUAAUCAAGUAAGUACGGUUUCUGAGUUGCGCAGAUUUGAGGCGUUCCUUAAGGUUGGUGUAAAAUUAGGGUAUGUGGAGAAGGUGUUCGAUUAAUUGAGGAACAGGUUGUGUAGUGAGAGAAAGAGAGAUAGAUAGGAGCGAGCGAGCGAGCGAGAGAGAGUGAGAGAAAGAAAGAGAGGUUCUGGUUGUGUAAAGAGCGUUUGGAAGGUGCUCUGCUUACGUUUCACUGUCAAGGCGUCAGAAAUAAAUCUUGCGAGUGUGGUGGAAGCCCCGGGAAAGUGCAGCCGACUUUUUAUGAGACUGGACAAGGUAGAAUAGCUUCACAGGAAUCAACGCCAGAAUGGGUAACUGUUGUGUAGGAUCUUCCACAAAGAAGUCCAGGAAGGAGCGCAGGCAAAAUCCAUUUGCUCCUCAGGACGGUUAUCAGACCAACAACCAAAUUUUGAAGAAUCAGCCGAAGGCCAGAAUAUUGGACAAGUAUGUGCUUGGUAGGGAGCUCGGGCGUGGGGAAUUCGGCAUCACGUAUUUGUGCACGGACAAGGAGACGCAGGAGGUUUUCGCCUGCAAGUCUAUCUCCAAGAAGAAGCUCAGGACUGCCGUGGAUGUGGAGGAUGUGCGGCGAGAAGUGGCAAUCAUGAAACACCUGCCCCAUCAUCCGCACAUCGUCACCUUGGAGGGCGCCUAUGAAGACGACGUCGCCGUGCACCUGGUGAUGGAGCUGUGCGAGGGAGGCGAGCUUUUCGACCGGAUCAUUGCGCGGGGGCACUACACGGAGCGGGGCGCCGCGCAAGUGACGCGGACCAUCGUGGAGGUGGUGCAGGCGUGUCACAGGCAGGGAGUGAUACACCGGGAUCUGAAGCCCGAGAACUUUCUGUUCGCCAACACCAACGAGAAUGCGCCGCUGAAGGCCAUCGACUUCGGGCUGUCGGUGUUUUUCAAGCCCGGGGAGAGGUUCUCGGAGAUUGUGGGCAGCCCGUACUACAUGGCACCGGAGGUGCUGAAGAGGAACUACGGGCCGGAGGUGGACGUGUGGAGCGCGGGCGUGAUCCUGUACAUAUUGCUGUGCGGGGUGCCUCCCUUCUGGGCGGAGACGGAGCAGGGCGUGGCGCAGGCGAUUCUGCGCGGGAUUCUGGAUUUCAAGCGGGAGCCGUGGCCGAAGGUGUCCGAGACGGCGAAGUCGCUGGUGCGGCACAUGCUGGAGCCAGACCCGAAAGCGCGGUACAAUGCGCAGCAGGUGUUGGACCACCCGUGGCUGCAGAACGCGAAGAAGAACCCGAACGUGCCGCUGGACGCGGUGAGGUCGCGGCUGAAGCAGUUCUCGGCGAUGAACAAGCUGAAGAAGAGGGCGCUGCAGGUGAUCGCCGAGCACCUGGGCGGGGAGGAGAUCGACGGGCUGAAGGAAAUGUUCGAGAAGUUGGACAGCGAUAAGACGGGGACCAUCACAUUCGAGAAACUGAAGAUGGGGCUGAUCGAAAUCGGGUCCCAACUGACGGAGCACGAGGUGCGGAUGCUGAUGGAAGCAGCGGACGUGGAGGGGAACGGGACGCUGGACUACGGCGAGUUCGUGGCUGCGACGGUGCAUUUGCAGCGCCUGGACGACGACGAGCAUCUGCGAAGGGCGUUCGACGUGUUCGACGUGGAUGGGAGCGGGUACAUCGAGACGGAGGAGCUGCGGGAAGCUGUGGGGGAGGCGAUGACAGAGUUGUCGAGCGAGCCGGACGUGGUGCAGGCCAUCCUGUCGGAGGUGGACCUGGACAAGGACGGACGGAUCAGUUAUGAGGAGUUCGCGGUGAUGAUGCGGAGGGGUACAGAUUGGAGAAAAGCGUCGCGGCAGUACUCUCGGGAUCGGUUCAACAGCCUGAGCAUGAGGCUUCUGCGGGACGGGUCAUUGAAUCCUCCGAGCUACUCAAUGAGCUCGAUGAGGUAGAACGAGGUAGCUCCAGCGGGGAGCAUGUGACGCGCAACAGUGCGGGGCAAGCGAUUGGGCACGGAACGGGCGAGGAGGUGCAUGGGAGGUGUUGCUGAGUAGGUGGUGGGGGCAGUGAGAUGGGUGGGCCGUGUGCGGCACAUGCUGGAGACAUGGAUUUUGGUGGGGGAUGAGGGUGGAUCUGUGCAAGGUGUAGGUGGAGCAGAUGGUGGUUUGAGGGGGUGCGGAGUGGCACGUUUUCGUUCGAUCCUUUUCCAAGUGCCGAUUGACAUUGGAAGCUUUUGCUCGUUUCUGUGAUUGACAUUUGAAGCCUAUAACUCGCUUCUAAGUGCCAAUUUCCACGGCACCUGUGAUAUUCACACACGACCCGUGGGUUGCAGGUGAACCACGAAAUCAACGAGGUGGGUGCAAUUCAAUGCUCGCAACGUAAUAUGAAAAAAGCGGCCUCCUCGGCAUUUGGAGGCUUACCACCGCUUUGAAGUGAGAAAUUAUAGCGUCCUUUUAGCUGGCAAUCAAACUUUAUUAGAAAAUGGUGAUAACUGUGAUGGGCCAGACAGCGACACUGCAACAGCUUGGCCACAUCUUGUCACUUCUUUUGGACGCCAUUUUGCAGCUGCAAGAGCGUUGAGCCUGCCCUUUCUUACAUUGUGCUUGGCUAGCCCCUAAGUUAGCAGCAGGCGUAAAAUCCCACAGCAUUUCUCACAACUUUCCCCAGUCCCUAUAUCAGACUAGUAUUAUUCGUAUUAUUUAGAGUUGUAGCUGAAGGUAUAUCAAGGUUUCGAGGGCUUUUCAAAAUGAAAGAUGUAUUUAGUAAAUUUGGAUUUUAAGAAAUAUGAAGUUUAUAAAAUUGAGGAUUUUGUGAA